GAUGAAGAACGUAGCGAAAUGCGAUAAGUAAUGUGAAUUGCAGAAUUCAGUGAAUCAUCGAAUCUUUGAACGCACAUUGCGCCCGCUAGUAUUCUGGCGGGCAUGCUUGUCCGAGCGUCAUUUCAACCCUCAAGCCCCCGGGCUUGGUGUUGGGGAUCGGCGAGCCUCCGCGCCCGCCGUCCCCUAAAUCUAGUGGCGGUCUCGCUGUAGCUUCCUCUGCGUAGUAGCACACCUCGCACUGGGAAACAGCGCGGCCACGCCGUUAAACCCCCAACUUCUGAACGUUUGACCUCGGAUCAGGUAGGAAUACCCGCUGAACUUAAGCAUAUCAAUAAGCGGAGGA
rnacentral:misc_RNA from 1 species